rnacentral:rRNA from 1 species
ACUCCUACGGGAGGCAGCAGUAGGGAAUCUUCCACAAUGGACGAAAGUCUGAUGGAGCAACGCCGCGUGAGUGAAGAAGGGUUUCGGCUCGUAAAACUCUGUUGUUAAAGAAGAACAUAUCUGAGAGUAACUGUUCAGGUAUUGACGGUAUUUAACCAGAAAGCCACGGCUAACUACGUGCCAGCAGCCGCGGUAAUACGUAGGUGGCAAGCGUUGUCCGGAUUUAUUGGGGCGUAAAGCGAGCGCAGGCGGUUUUUAAAGUCUGAUGUGAAAGCCUUCGGCUCAACCGAAGAAGUGCAUCGGAAACUGGGAAACUUGAGUGCAGAAGAGGACAGUGGAACUCCAUGUGUAGCGGUGAAAUGCGUAGAUAUAUGGAAGAACACCAGUGGCGAAGGCGGCUGUCUGGUCUGUAACUGACGCUGAGGCUCGAAAGUAUGGGUAGCAAACAGGAUUAGAUACCCUGGUAGGCUAGCG